UUGACAGCACUGGAGAAAAGUGGCCUUUAUUCAUCUUCUGAACAGGUACAUUCAGGCAAGCAGCAGUAAAAGCUCUCUGCUUUUCCCAGCCCAGCCCUGGAGGACAAUAUGCAAAGAUAAAGGGGACAUUUAGUCUUCCAGGCUUGCCACCAAAUCUGUACA
ensembl:misc_RNA